GAUGAACGCUGGCGGCGUGCCUAAUACAUGCAAGUCGAGCGAACGGACGAGAAGCUUGCUUCUCUGAUGUUAGCGGCGGACGGGUGAGUAACACGUGGAUAACCUGCCUAUACUACUGGGAUAACUUCGUGAAACCGGAGCUAAUACCGGAUGAUAUGUUGAACCGCAUGGUUCAAAAGUGAAAGACGGUCUUGCUGUCACUUAUAGAUAGAUCCGCGCUGCAUUAGCUAGUUGGUAAGGUAACGGCUUACCAAGGCAACGAUGCAUAGCCGACCUGAGAGGGUGAUCGGCCACACUGGAACUGAGACACGGUCCAGACUCCUACGGGAGGCAGCAGUAGGGAAUCUUCCGCAAUGGGCGAAAGCCUGACGGAGCAACGCCGCGUGAGUGAUGAAGGUCUUCGGAUCGUAAAACUCUGUUAUUAGGGAAGAACAUAUGUGUAAGUAACUGUGCACAUCUUGACGGUACCUAAUCAGAAAGCCACGGCUAACUACGUG
rnacentral:rRNA from 1 species